AACACCGCCAAAGUAUGACUGUCCUCAUAUAAGGUACCAUGACGACCUCAAGUCAAAGGACCAAUUCCACUACCGAGCGUUAGAGAUUAACCACUGACACUCAGAUAGUUAUCCAUGUGGAAUCUCUCGACGGGUCUCCAAUGUUUUGUUCUAUAACAAAACAUUCACGUGUUCAUUUAAGUGUCACCACACUUUAACUUGUGAGAUCAGCUACUUACUUCACAAGUAAGAAAUGCCACACGUGAUGGUCU
rnacentral:lncRNA from 1 species